AUGCACGCCGGUGGCCGCGCCGCCGCGCCUGGCGGAGAUGCCACCACCAACCCUGCCUCCCCGUACUUCAUCGACGCCACCCACCCGUACGCGGCCGCUGCCGCUUCCGCGCUCACCUCCCACCGCUCCAAGUCCAAGUGGUCCCAGCUCGCUUCCCUCCAGCUCCCCGACCCCCUCCCCGCGUCCGCCGCUUCCGCCGUCCUCCUCCUCCGCCGCCAUCGGCCCCACGUAGCCCUCAGCUUCCACCAAUUCGCCCUCCGCCGCCUCCUCCCCGCCCGCUCCCCUCCCCCGCUCAUCCUCUCCGCCNNNNCCGCGCACGUCGCGGCCGCCUCCCGCCUCCGGCGCGUGGCCAUAUAUGUCCUCUCCUCCGCCACCUGCCACUACUCCCCCUCCCAGAUCUUCAAUGCCAUCGCUGCCACCUUCCACCGCUUUGCGUCAGCCCCCUUCGUCUUCGACCUCCUCCUCCUCGCUUGCCACCGCUCCCGGCGCGAACCCCUCGCGGCGGCCUCCAUCACCCGCCACUACCUUGCCUCCGGCACCUGCCCCCUUCCCUCUACCGCGGCGUUGCUCUUCCGCUCCCUUCCUUGCGCCGAGUCCGCCCUCGAGAUGUACCGCCAAAUCUACACGCGACCGGGUCCAAGAACCAACCGCGUGCUCCAGCCGACGGCACAGACCUUUAACUCCCUCCUCCUCGCUUUCUACCGCCAUGGCAAGUGCGAAGAUUUCAACAUUGUGCUCGACGAAAUGGACAGGUACUCUUGCAAGCACAAUGUGGGCACUUACAACAUUCGGAUGGCUGCGUGCUGUGAUGACAGGGAGAUGGUGAAGGUAUGACGAUUGUGGAAUGAGAUGGUUCAGGGAGGGAUCCAACAAGAUGUCACCUCAUACGACAUGAUGAUUGGUGGGUAUUGUGCUGCCGGGGAGGUGGGGAUGGCAGAGGAGAUGUUUAAGGACAUGGAGAUUUGUGGGAUUGAGCCAAGUGUUACAACAUUCGAGUGGUUGGUCAGAGGGCAUUGUAGGACAGGGGAUGUUGAUGCUGCGAUGCUUGUUCGCAUAGACCUCAGAAGGAGGGGGUUUAGUAUGGCGGCGGAGGUUGUCGAGGAGAUGGUUCAUAGAUUGUGUAAGAAGAGGAGAGUUGAGGAGGCAUUAGGUAUUUUGAGGGCGGAGAUGAAGAACGAAGAGUUCGCACCGAAUCGGGGAAGCUAUGAGGUACUGAUAAGGGGAUUUUGUGAGGAAGGGGAAGUGGAGGUGGCGAUGAGACUCCAGGCAGAGAUGGCUGGGAAGGGAUUCAAAACCUGUGGUGAGGUAUACCAUGCUUUUGUCCGGGCUUAUGAGAAGGAUGAGGACCGUGAGAUGGUUGAGAGGUUGAGGAAGGAAAUGGCAGCGAUAGGCAUCGAGGAUGCAAGUGACCCGGAUUGUAUGCAAUGA
rnacentral:rRNA from 1 species